ACAAUAAAAAAUAAUUUAUGGGAACUAAUUUGAGAGAAAAAUAAUUUCGUGUGAAAAUCAGCACAGCAAUUCCUCGCGACGCGACGUCUUGCUUCGCGUGACGUCCUUCUUUCUUUUUACUCUCUUUUCCUCGCGAGUCUGUUGCCGCGGGAGGAAAACUCUUUAACGCUCUUUCGCACUCGCUUGCUCAGGUGAGCGAGAUUACCCCGUCGUUACCGAUAGGAACCUUGAGCGAGCAAAUUGCGCAAGGCAAGGGAAUUGUUGAGACAGUGGCGUGUGCAACGUGCGCGUCGCUCCGUUCACCGAUAUUUUCACUUUUCGCCGGUAUUCCUCCCUUGGUGCACGGUCAACGGCGGAACGAAACGAGUGCGGAAGAAAUAAUAUACAACGGGGAGAAUGCGCAACGAAAACGCACGUGAAAGGUAAAGUGAAGAUGACGCGGAGCGAAACGGAUGCACUUGCUUCGAUGCGCGUUGAAGCACGUUGGGAAACGUCGUGGGCGAAUAAUGACGAGGAGACAGCCGUAAUUUGCUUCCCCUGGCAUCCAAAGCAUAGGCGUGACAAAAGCUACUCGACAACUCGCUAACAUUGAGACAAACAGUCUCCUAGACAAACAGUCUCCUUCAAUAUAAAAAACGCAAUUGUAAAUAUGGAACGAAUUUGUAUAAGCUAUUUGCGUGUAUUAAGAUACACGAAUAUACGAAAUUUGUGAAUAUGUAUCGCGAUAGAAAUUCCUCCUUACGACGCCAAGUACACUCAUGAGAGAACGAAGGGAGUAAAACCGAGAAGAAGCUCCAGAAGAGCAAGAACAACAAGAAAGAUAAGAAGGAGGAGGCGAAGAAGAAGAAGAAGAAACCAUGAAAGACGAGAAAGCUUUGCCGGGGGGCGGUCAGUGGCCUCUGUGCAGCGGCUACCACGUCCCAUGGCAUCGCCUCGCGUCGACGAGUUACACGGCGAAUAAUAAUGGGAAUUACUGAGAGACACACGCGCGAGUAGCGGAUUUAAGGCCCGCUGCUUUUUGUCGCCAUCGGAUCGUCGGAGAUAAGGUCCCCGACGACGAUAACGAGGUCGAAACAAUAGCGGUCCCACCGCAGUAUGAGGCUUCUUUUUCCCUUGAUGUUCGAAACGUUCCACAUUUCCUUCAAGAAACUACCGCCGUUUCUUCAACACAAUACCCGGAGGGCAUAGCGGUGAGCUCAAAAUUCGAAAAUCUUUCGCCUUACGUCUCGUUAAAGAGUCCCGUCACAGAACUACCUCUUCUUUUUCUUUUAUGGACAUAUUUAGUCCAUAAAUAAUUAUUUUUAUUCGUCCAUAAGUAGUUUCUUAUUACGUAUUUCAAUAAUUCCUUAUCCAUAGAAUAUCUGCAGAAAAGUGAUAUAAACUGUAAAAUUAUAAAUUUUAUUAGUUUGUAUAAUUUUCAUUUUAUCUCUUUUAACGUAGGAAAACGUAUAACGUAAGAUAUAAAUAAAAAUUAAAAAUUGAUUAAAAUCAUGUAUAUAUUUG